rnacentral:miRNA from 13 species
UCCUGGGCAGAGUGAUGGUGUCACGCACAGUGCCGGGAGGUGGCAUCAGGUGCUAACUCGUUUCCUGAUAUCAUCACCCAGCAUCGCGCAUGUCCAUCAAGCACCUUGGG